UUUCAACGGAGAGUUUGAUCCUGGCUCAGGACGAACGCUGGCGGCGUGCUUAACACAUGCAAGUCGAGCGGUAAGGCCCUUCGGGGUACACGAGC
rnacentral:rRNA from 1 species